rnacentral:lncRNA from 1 species
UUACACUUUCUACUCAAAAAAUCAAUCUACAAUCUCUAUUUGUUUCUUUGUGUUAUUGUGUGAUCUUUGAAAAUGGCGAAUUACCAGAACCAAUAUGGUGCAACGGCCCAAUCUACAAAUGAUUACGGGAACCCACUCACCAACUACACCGGAUCAGAGCCCCAAUCUACAAAUGAGUACGGGGCUACAGAUGAGUAUGGGAACCCAGUCACCACCUACACCAGAUCAGAGCCCCACUAUACAGAUGAGUAUGGGAACCCAGUACGCGAAAGGGGGAUGAUGGACAAGAUCAAGGAGAAGCUCCCAGGUACUCAUGACCCCUACUCAUCUCAUUCUCAGACAACCUACCCCACUGCACGUUACGGUGAAACCGGCUACACUGGAUUGGAGCAGCACCAUGGGAUGAUGAACAAGAUGCCAGGUACUGACCCCUACUCAUCUCAUUCUCAUACAACCGGCACCACUGCACCUUACGAUGGAACCGGCUACACCGGAACAGAGUACCGCCAGCACAAGGGCACGAUGGACAGGAUCAAGGAUAAGCUGACUGGGACUGGUGGACAUAGGGUGGAUGAUCCCUACUCAUCUCAUUCUCAUAAAACCGCCACCACCACACCUUACGGUGGCACCACCACCACAGCUUACGGUGACAGCACCACCACACCUUCACCUUACGGUGGCACCACCACCACACAUUCACCUUACGGUGGCACCACCACCACAGCUUACGGUGACACCACCACCACACCUUCAGCUUACGGUGGCACCACCACCACACCUUCAGCUUACGGUGGCACCGCCACCACCACCUACCCCCGUGAAAAGAAGGGCAUCAUGGACAAGAUCAAAGAGAAACUUCCUGGUGGACAUCAUUAUUAAUAAUAGGGUUAUGUAAGAGAUAGAUACGUUAGGUAUCGUUUUGUGUUCAAUGUUUUAGUAUGACGUGUAUAAUAAGCGGUGCUUGGUGUGGUUGUUAUGUUUGUGAACACCGAGCUCUGCGCCAUGUCCUUUGUAUUUUGUGAUACAUACUUUGUAUGUCCUUUAUAUCUAUCUUAACAAUAGUUCCUGUGUAAGCAAGUUUUAAUUGUUUGGAGAGGGAUUUAUUAAAACCAGCAAUAGUCUAAUUAUUUUAAAUUAUUAUAAUUUACAAGGAAUUCAAACUUGAGGCCAAAAACGUAAGGCUCACCUCUGCUAUUAUUCAUGGUAUUCACGAUUGGGUUGUAGAUAAAGAAUUUUAUGGCUAUACGUUGUGGUAUCUUACGGCACUUCAACAAUAAAGUAUCUAUUCCACACAAACAAAAGACGGUUCAUGUCACGAUUAUUGACUUAACCCACAUAUACUUUGAAAUUAAAUUUUUUUUCAGUAAAAGCAUUUAAAUUUGGAGUCAUUCUAUAAUGAAGGCGGCUCUUAGAUGAGAUAUUAUCUCUUAAUUAUUAAAUUAAAUUAAUUAUUUUGAUCUAACGAUUAACUAAUUUAAUUUAAUAAUUAAAAAAUAGAACAUCAUCUAGAUGAGACCCACACUUUAGAAUUUGGCUACUCAACAGAUUGGUCCGUUUCAUGUCGGCCGUUUGUAGACCAAACUGCUGAAAUUGGGCCGGUUCAAUUCAAUAACCCUGUACAGCUAGAACCAAUGGAUAACACCCACGUGGAACCUCAUACACGGAACGAUGAAAUCCCUCUUAUGAAUCUUAGCCAUCCAAUGAGUCGGUCUGUGUGACAAAGAUCAAGAUGAUGAAUGACUUUUACAAGGGUCAAAAGCUAGUGGAGUGGAACGGGUACAGAUGUUGUUGUUCCUCCUGUCGUCAUCAAUUCCAUACAGACGCGGUGAAAUGAUACCUGCUUUUCAAGACAACGAGAACCACUUAUUUUAUCUUAUCUUAAUCGUAAUCUUUAAUCUUAUGCCCGACGUAAAAAGAAAACAAAACAAAAACAAAAUAUCUUCCGAUGUGCCGACACCGGCACACAGGUGUCCUGUCUCAACAGCGCCACGUGUCUCAUAUGUGAAUAUCAGGUAGGUAUGAAAUUUACUUUGCUAAUUAUGUACGUGGGUACGUGUAAAGAUUAAUGAAAUUAUUAUUCAUGGCAUGGCAUGCGCGUUAUGCAUAAUGCAUGCAUAGCCUUUGGGUGUAGAUUCGUUGCCUAUAUAAACCAACCUCAGUUCUAAUUUCAAAUACAUCACUUCAUCCCAAACCAAAGCCAGUUUCAUUCAUUUGGUUUUUAUCAGGAGUUGUAUUUUCUUGUGUCUUUUUUUGUUCGUACUUUGAAAAAUGGCGCAUUUUGGUUCAACACCCGAGCCUACUAAGACUGAUGAGUAUGGGAACCCGGUUCAUCACACCACCACCGGAACCGGUCGGACAGACGAGUUCGGGAACCCGGUUCAGCACGGCGUGGCGGAUACCGGGUACGGAACUGGUGCAGGGUACGGCACUCAUACAAAACCUGGUGUUGUUGAGCACCACGGCGUCCCUGCUGUGCUUCAUUCCAAGGAUGACCAGUACUCUCGUGAUACCCAGACAACCACUGGAGGUUACGGUGGGGACGGGUACACAGGAGGAGAGCACCAGGAGAAGAAGGGUUUACUAGGCCAACUCCAGGACAAGCUGCCAGGUGGGAACAAGGAUGGCCAGUACUCUCAUGACACCCAGACAACCACUGGAGCUUACGGUGGGGCCGGCUACACAGGAGGAGAGCACCACGAGAAGAAGGGUAUAAUAGGCCAAGUUAAGGACAAGCUGCCAGGUGGGCAAAAGGAUGACCAGUACUGUCGUGACACCCACCCAACCACUGGAGCUUACGGUGGCGCCGGCUACACAGGAGGAGAGGACCACGAGAAGAAGGGUAUAAUAGGCCAAGUCAAAGACAAGCUGCCAGGUGGGCAAAAGGAUGACCAGUACUGUCGUGACACCCACCCAACCACUGGAGCUUACGGUGGGGCCGGCUACACAGGAGGAGAGCACCAGGAGAAGAAGGGUAUAAUAGGCCAAGUUAAGGACAAGCUGCCAGGUGGGCAAAAGGAUGAUCAGUACUCUCAUGACACCCACAAAACUACUGGAGCUUACGGUGGGGCCGGAUACACAGGAGAUGAUACCCGGGAGAAGAAGGGUAUAAUAGGCCAAGUGAAGGACAAGCUGCCAGGUGGGCAAAAGGAUGACCAUUACUCUCAUGACACCCACCCAACAACUGGAGCUUACGGUGGGGCCGGGUACACAGGAGAUGAUACCCGGGAGAAGAAGGGUAUAAUAGACCAAGUAAAGGACAAGCUGCCGGGUGGGCAAAAGGAUGACCAUUACUCUCAUGAGACCCACCCAACCACUGGAGCUUACGGUGGGGCAGGGUACACAGGAGAUGAUACACGGGAGAAGAAGGGUGUAGUGGAGAAAGUGAAGGAGAAGCUGCCAGGUGGGCAAAAUGUGCACCCAACCACUGGACCUUACGGUGGGGGUGGGGCCGCGGGCAUAGGAGAGACCCGGGAGAGGAAGGGUGUAGGGGAGAAAGUGAAGGAGAAGCUGCCAGGUGGACAUAAGGAUGACCAGUACCUUCAUGACACCCACCCAACCAAGCCAACCAGUGCAGCUCACGGUGGGGUCGGGCACACAGGAGGAGAGCCCCAGCUCCAUGAGAAGAAGGGGUUGAUUGAGAAAAUCAAAGACAAGCUUCCUGGUCACAACAACUAGAUGGAAUGGAUCAUCAUUUGGACUUCCUAUCAGAUAAUUAUCUGCUGUGCUGCUGUGUAUAAUAAAUCGGUGCUUGUUGUUGGUCUGUGACCACCGAGCAUUGUACAAUGUCGUAUUUUGUAAUAUUUGGAUGUCGUUUGUGUUAUAGUAUAAAUGUGCUCUUCUGAGUACAGUGUUUUGCUUUUGUAACUAUUUAUUGUCUGCUGCUUUCAAGUAUAAAUCUCAAUAAUGCACAUAUAUUAUUAUUAUUAUUUUGUGAUGAAAUAGGUUUGUCUAAAUGAAAUCUUAACCAAGGGUUGAAAAUCAAAUUUUUUGGAAAAAAGAACCCAAAGGCUCCUACUUUCUGCACCGGCCCCUUGAAAAAGUGAAGAGUUUGAAAUGUCAAGAGAUCUUGUGAACCUUUUGCUUUAAGCUGUUGAGCAGCAGUAUCACAAGCUACAACUUCAUAGCUAUCCUUUAACGUUUGACGGACUGCCUUGCCCUCCUCUAUCUGAGUGAAGAAGUUGGCUUUCUUUGCCUUUUCUUCUUGUUGCCGCUUUUCUCAGAGUUUUGUUUUUUCUUACUGUUUGUUUGGUCUUCUUCUUGUAUUUGCCGUUGACUGGUUGCUCGGUCUCGGUUUGUUCUCCUGACCCUUUGGUAUUUGUUUAUGAAAGUACAACUUUACCCCCCAAAAAAGAAAAGUAAUUCGCUUUUAGCUCGUCUAAAUCCCUGAGCACAUACGAACAAGGCCCCUAAUUUGUAUAAACCUAUAUAUAUAUAUUAUUUAAAAAUAAAAUGCAAUAUAUAUUAAUUUUUAUGUAUUUUAUAAAGUUGUUAAUUCCUUUUUAAAUUACAACAGUUCAUAUAAAUGUUUUUAACUUACCGGGAAAAAAAAAAUUCACAUAAGAAUACAUAAAAAGUGGGCAUAAAUCACUCUCUGAAACAUUAUCCCACUCCUCCGAACGACCUUUACAGCGCCACUUGUCAAAAUGUGACAAUGCAACAAGUUCCAAUAAUUUUCAACUGAUACAGAGGUAGCUAUCGUCAAACAGGCUCUUGUGCAUACGCGGUCAAAGUGUCACGAGCUUUUAACACCAAGACAAAGAAUACUAUUAUUAACACAUGAUAUACACAUCUUAUCUUAUCUAUGAUGCAGAAACAAGAUCCAAUUGUCCUCUCACGGCGCCGGCAGGUGUCCCAGUGGCUAACGUGGCUGCAGUGCAUGGAGUCACUAUUCGCGUACGUGUAAGAAUAUGCAUGCCUUGCCAAUCCAAUUGCCCAUAUAUAACCCCCAAACCCCGUUUCUCAUUUCAAAUACAUCAAAUCCCAAACAGAUCUUAAUUUAAAAUUACUCAAAAGUUCAGCAGCUGUUUGUGUUUGCAGUUUGAAAAUGGCGAGCUAUGAGAAGCAGUACGGGGCAACACCGACCGACGAGUACGGGAACCCGAUCCGCCGCACCGACGAGUACGGGAACCCACUUGGUCAUCACACUACUACGACCGGAACCACCGCGGCCACCACUGGCGCAGGAGGGUACGACCCUCAUGACUUCGCCGCCACCACGGUAGCUGGCCAAGGCCAAGGGGUGCAUGGUCACGACUAUGACAGGAAAGGGCACCACGGCGUCACUGGCGCCGUGCUUCACCGCUCUGGUAGCUCAAGCUCUAGCUCUGUAAGUCCUCUUUUUUUUUCUUUUUCUUUUUUUUUAAAUUUUCCUCUAAUAUAUCAAAUUAUGGGAAUUUAAUUUCAUGAAUAAUAUGCUCGAUUGCGCAAUAUAUUUUGUGCUACAUCUCUAACAGUUGUUAUAGAUGUGGUCACAACUUUUGUGUCACAUCAAUAUUUAACAGUUUUAACAGUUUGUGUCAAGUCUCACGGAUCACACUGUUUUGUAUCACAUCCAUCUUGAACAGAAGUGAGACUCGUCUUGUGUCGCACUAUUUCAUCACAAAAAUAAUUUUAUGGUGAUUUUAUUAUAUAUGAUAUGAUAAAGUUGGUAAUUGAUUGUGAUUUGUAGUCUGAGGAUGACGGGCUAGGAGGGAGGAGGAAGAAGAAGGGGUUGAAGGAGAAGGUAAAGGAGAAGCUGCCAGGUGGAACCAAAACCGAUACAACAUACGGUGGAACUGGGACCACCGGGCAGCACCACCAGGAGAAGGGGACGAUGGACAAGAUCAAGGAGAAGCUGCCUGGGACUGGGGGGCAUAGGGCAGAUGACCCCUACCCAUCUCAGACUCAUACAACUGCCACCACCACACCUUAUGGUGGAACCGCCUACACCGAAGAGCACCAAGAG